CAACAGGUGCUCAUUUAUAAUGAGAGAAUAGGAAAGUAAGUAAAAGCUUACACGGUCACGCCGCUGUAUGGGAAGAGCAAGGCUUUAAAAUGCCACUGGGAAACUGGGAAGGCAAAGCCGCGCUGUGAGGCCCUUAGUCAGAAGACCUGCCUGGUUGUAUAU
rnacentral:ncRNA from 1 species